rnacentral:rRNA from 1 species
GACGAACGCUGGCGGCGUGCCUAAUACAUGCAAGUCGAGCGAAUCAACAGGAGCUUGCUCCUGUUGGUUAGCGGCGGACGGGUGAGUAACACGUGGGCAACCUGCCUGUAAGACUGGGAUAACACCGGGAAACCGGUGCUAAUACCGGAUAAUCCUUUUCCCCUCAUGAGGAAAAGCUGAAAGUCGGUUUCGGCUGACGCUUACAGAUGGGCCCGCGGCGCAUUAGCUAGUUGGUGAGGUAACGGCUCACCAAGGCGACGAUGCGUAGCCGACCUGAGAGGGUGAUCGGCCACACUGGGACUGAGACACGGCCCAGACUCCUACGGGAGGCAGCAGUAGGGAAUCUUCCACAAUGGACGAAAGUCUGAUGGAGCAACGCCGCGUGAGCGAUGAAGGCCUUCGGGUCGUAAAGCUCUGUUGUUAGGGAAGAACAAGUACCGGAGUAACUGCCGGUACCUUGACGGUACCUAACCAGAAAGCCACGGCUAACUACGUGCCAGCCGCCGCGGUAA